rnacentral:tRNA from 1 species
GAAGGUAUAGCUCAGGGGUAGAGCGCAUGCUUAGCAUACACAAAGUCCUGGGUUCAAUCCUCUGUACCUCCA